UGAGACCUCCAGGAGAUGGAGGAUAGGAAGGGUGUAAUGACCUGGGUGACAGUGGAAUCCCAACAGACUGGUUUGUAGAUGCCCCAGGACACAAUGGCUAGAGGCACAGCCUUGAUGAAUAAGGAAGGAAGCUGAGCCCUAUUGAGCCCACCUGGGAGGAUGCAACCAGAGGAACGUCUUGGAAAUGUCCAUCAGAAUGACUGCCUCAUGAAAGGUUAAACAGUUCACUAUGGACGUGAGAUUCGUCAUAAGGAGAAUGAGUAACAUGGCCACCCGCUGGAAGCUGAGUUUUGGAAUUCAUCAGCUCUGCCCUGAUUCUUUCUUGCAUGAGACCAGUUGGAUCACUGCGUGCAGUGCUUCAGAAGUUCAAUUCCAGAUCUGGAGACUGUGGGAUCGGGGUGCAAGGCUGGAGAGGGCCCUGACCUUGUAUUUCCAGGAGAGCCUGCCUGAUAACUGUCCAUCUUCCCGGAGAUGAAAGUGCUGGGACAGCUGAGAAAGGUGGACCUAGACUGAGGGUUCAGUAACCCUUCUCUUGGGCCUCUCACAACUAUUUGAAUCCCUGAGGUGGAAUUAGGAAGGUUGACAGCUAUGAGGGCAGGGCCGAGCUCAGUUAGGGAGGAGCUGGAAUUUCAACACUGAAAACUUGGAUGAAGACAUUUUGAUGUUGGCAUGAACAUCAUGGACAUUGUAGCAACUAAACAGACUAGCCAAAGCAAUCAGCCAUGAGGGUAGAGAGACUCUCUCCUUCCUAGACCCAGGGAAAGCCACAGGGGUGAAGAAGGGGCCAUCAGUGGGAACUGGGCCAGUGACAGCACUGUGACCUAAACAGGAAGGGGAGAGGAAAUAAAUACCCCACUGGCCCUCUGAAGUCUUCCAUAAGUGACCAGCCCGGUGCUCUGCAGGAAAGGAGCCAAGCCACCAAUACUCAACGCUCCAGGGAAGCCACCGGGUUGGAUAUCUCAACAAAUGGUGGACUAUAUGUGAGGCAAACAGAUGAACAAGCCAAAUGAUUUUAUGGAAUCCAUAAAAAUGACCGUUAUUUCCAUGUUCUGAGCUUCUUCUAGACCCCAUGUGUUUAUCUAUGUAAUUUCAUCCAUUUCGUCUACUUGACUUAACUGAGGGGCAUUGCUGUCGUUCUAUGGAUGGGAAAAGGUAAUAAAAGAAGGUACUCCCCAGACU
rnacentral:lncRNA from 1 species